rnacentral:pre_miRNA from 1 species
AGUAAAACUUCUCUUAUUUUGACCAAGUCUAUAGAAAAAUGUACUAAUAUUUACAACAUCAAAUUAGUUUUAUUCAAUUCACCAUGCAAUGUGUUGGAGAGUGAACUUAUUUGGUAUUACAGUAUAGGUGCCAAUGUAUAUUUCUAUAAACUUGGCCAAAGUUAGAGAAGUUUGACUUAG